rnacentral:rRNA from 1 species
ACGAACGCUGGCGGCGUGCCUAAUACAUGCAAGUAGAACGCUGAAGAGAGGAGCUUGCUCUUCUUGGAUGAGUUGCGAACGGGUGAGUAACGCGUAGGUAACCUGCCUGGUAGCGGGGGAUAACUAUUGGAAACGAUAGCUAAUACCGCAUGAAAUUGCUUAUCGCAUGAUAAUUAAUUGAAAGAUGCAAUUGCAUCACUACCAGAUGGACCUGCGUUGUAUUAGCUAGUUGGUGAGGUAACGGCUCACCAAGGCGACGAUACAUAGCCGACCUGAGAGGGUGAUCGGCCACACUGGGACUGAGACACGGCCCAGACUCCUACGGGAGGCAGCAGUAGGGAAUCUUCGGCAAUGGGGGGAACCCUGACCGAGCAACGCCGCGUGAGUGAAGAAGGUUUUCGGAUCGUAAAGCUCUGUUGUAAGAGAAGAACGGGUGUGAGAGUGGAAAGUUCACACUGUGACGGUAUCUUACCAGAAAGGGACGGCUAACUACGUGC